rnacentral:lncRNA from 1 species
UGACCUCAGGUGAUCUGCCCGCCUCAGCCUCCCAAAGUGCUAGGAUUACAAGUGUGAGCCACCACGCCCGGCCCCAAUAUUCUUUCUUACUAGACACUGUGUAAGCUAAUUAUUCAGCAAGUAUUUUGCACUGAACUCUAAAUAGGUAAGUAUUUUGUGUCCAUUUUACAGACAAGAGAAAUAAAAUAGGUAAAGUAUUUCCCCAAAGCUAUGAUAAAUGAAUCCCAUAGCUAGAAAUGGCAGAAAACCCAUGGAAACUUCUAUGGGGAGUGGAUGUCUGCCUUACCUUGGCACAAUGCUUGGUUCUCAGAUAUCAUUUCAGUGACAUUGCCAAAUGGGAGAAACCAUGUCUGGUACACGGGACUCAAGCUGCCUCAAAAUAUCCUGAAUGCAUUUUUUCAGGGGAGAAAAUCCAUUUGAAUAAGAAUAGCUAGUUAUAGCUUAUUAUGUGCCAGACACUAUUCAAAGUGUUUAAUGUGUAUUAACUUCUCAAAACCACUCUAUAAGUUAGGUACUAUGAUUUCCAUCUCCAUUUUACAGACGAGGGAACUGAGCUGUCAAAACUAAGUGACUUGAUUGAGGCCAUGCAGCUGGCGAGGGGAGGACCAGGAUCUGAACCCAACUGGGUCUCCCAAGCCUGGGCCACUGAACCAUUUCACCUCUUGGAAAAACUUAAUGGUCAGAGUGGCCCACCCAGUCCAUGGACAGCAUGGAGGAUAAACUGCUUCCCUAGAAAUCCUCUCCAGCAUUCUUGCCACCACGACUUUGGGACACAUUGACCAUGAGGAGGAGCUGGUCAAUGAUGGACAGGAGUCCAGAUUAGCAGAGAUGUGGUAAUAAGGACACCGAUGCCUAAAUACUUGAAAUAUCCAAUAGGAAGCAUUCCACCUUUGUGCAAAUGCGAACCACAUCUCACCAAGUUCAGGCCAAGGCUGCCACCGGUGACGUUUUGGAAAAGAAAAAAAAAAGCGGGGGGAGAGGAGAGAAACAGAGAAGCAAGGAAUGCAGAAGAGAGCAGAGGCCACAAAAACAGCAGCAACGUGUCCUGUGUAUUCUGUUUCCUUGUAAAACUAUGAAGCAUGUUAAGGAGAUACUUCAUUUUUUGAGGAUUCAUACUCUUGUUUAUAUUAUAAUAAAAACAACCCAUGUUCUUUCUAAAAAUUUAGGCAAUGCCUUCGUGCACAUAAAAGUAAAACAAAAUCACCUGUAAUCCUACCACACGCAGAUCAGCACUUGCUAAUCUUUUCACAGGGAUCCUAAGAAUAUCCUAUUCUCUAUAGAAUAUAGUUGAUUUAUGUUACCUAAUAACUAACUGUUAACCAUU